CACCAGGUUGAUUCUGCCUGACGUAGACGCUAUUCCCUAAGAUUAACCCAUGCAUGUUUUUGACAUUUGAAAAAUGGACUGCUCAGUAAUACUCACUUUAUUUAAUGUACAUUUGAAAAUAACUACGUUAAAGUGUAGAUAAGAUGUGUACAGUAAGAGUGAGACCUAUCAGCUAGUUGUUAAGGUAAUGGCUUAACAAGGCAGUGACGGGUAACGGUAUUACUUUGUAAUAUUCCGGAGAAGGAGCCUGAGAGACGGCUACUAAGUCUAAGGAUUGCAGCAGGGGCGAAACUUGACCUAUGGAUUUUAUCUGAGGCAGUUAUGGGAAGUAAUAUUAUAUUGUUUCAUAUUGUAAAAGUAUAUGAGGUGAUUAAUUGGAGGGCAAAUCAAGUGCCAGCAGCCGCGGUAAUACUUGUUCCAAGAGUGUGUAUGAUGAUUGAUGCAGUUAAAAAGUCCGUAGUUUAUAUUUAAGAAGCAAUAUGAGGUGUACUGUAUAGUUGGGAGAGAGAUGAAAUGUGACGACCCUGACUGGACGAACAGAAGCGAAAGCUGUACACUUGUAUGUAUUUUUUGAACAAGGACGUAAGCUGGAGGAGCGAAGAUGAUUAGAUACCAUUGUAGUUCCAGCAGUAAACUAUGCCAACGAUGUGAUAUGAUAUUAAUUGUAUUACAUGAUAGAAAUUUGAGUUUUUUGGCUCUGGGGAUAGUAUGAUCGCAAGAUUGAAAAUUAAAGAAAUUGACGGAAGAAUACCACAAGGAGUGGAUUGUGCGGCUUAAUUUGACUCAACGCGAGGUAACUUACCAAUAUUUUAUUAUUCAGAGAAGAUAUAUUAUCUGAGGAUGAUAAUAGUGGUGCAUGGCCGUUUUCAAUGGAUGCUGUGAAGUUUUGAUUAAUUUCAACAAGACGUGAGACCCUUUUUUUAUAGACAGACACAAUCAGUGUAGGAAGGAAAGGAUUAAAACAGGUCCGUUAUGCCCUCAGACAUUUUGGGCUGCACGCGCAAUACAAUAGAUAUAUAAUCUUUAUGGGAUAAUAUUUUGUAAGAGAUAUUUGAACUUGGAAUUGCUAGUAAAUUUUAUUAAAUAAGUAGAAUUGAAUGUGUCCCUGUUCUUUGUACACACCGCCCGUCGCUAUCUAAGAUGAUAUGUGUUGUGAAAUUAGUGAAAACUACUUGAACAAUAUGUAUUAGAUCUGAUAUAAGUCGUAACAUGGUUGCUGUUGGAGAACCAUUAGCAGGAUCAUAA
rnacentral:rRNA from 1 species